rnacentral:rRNA from 1 species
CCUACGGGAGGCAGCAGUAGGGAAUCUUCGGCAAUGGAGGAAAGUCUGAUGGAGCAACGCCGCGUGAGUGAGGAAGUAUUUCGGAUUGUAAAGCUCUAUCCUCAGGGAAGAAAAUGACGGUAACUGACUAAGCAGCCCCGGCUAACUACGUGCCAGCAGCCGCGGUAAUACGUAGUGGGCAAGCGUUAUCCGGAUUUACUGGGGGUAAAGCGAGCGGAGACUGCUCAUCAAGUCAGAAGUGAAAGCCCAGGGCUCAACCGUGGGACUGCUUUUGAAACUGAGUAGCUAGAGUGCAGGAGAGGUGAGCGGAAUUCCUAGUGUAGCGGUGAAAUGCGUAGAUAUUAGGAGGAACACCAGUGGCGAAGGCGGCUUACUGGACUGUAACUGACGCUGAGGCUCGAAAGCGUGGGGAGCAAACAGGAUUAGAUACCCCUGUAGUC